GAUGAACGCUGGCGGCGUGCCUAAUACAUGCAAGUAGAGCGAACAGACGAGGAGCUUGCUCCUCUGACGUUAGCGGCGGACGGGUGAGUAACACGUGGAUAACCUACCUAUAAGACUGGGAUAACUUCGGGAAACUGGAGCUAAUACCGGAUAAUAUAUUGAACCGUAUGGUUCAAUAGUGAAAGACGGUUUUGCUGCCACUUAUAGAUGGAUCCGCGCCGUAUUUGCUAGUUGGUAAGGUAACGGCUUACCAAGGCAACGAUGAGUAGCCGACCUGAGAGGGGAAUCGACCACACGGGAACGAGGACACGCUCCAGACUCCUACGGAGGGCGGCAGUGGGGAAUCUUCGGCAAUGGGCGAAAUCUGAACGGGGCAACGCGGCGGAAGUAAGGAGGGUCUUCGAAUCUUAAGACUCUGUUAUUGGGAAGGAACAAAUGUGUAAGUAACUAUGCACGUCUUGACGGUACCUUAUCAGAAAGCCACGGCUAACUACGUG
rnacentral:rRNA from 1 species